CAGCCGCCGCGGUAAUACGAAGGGUGCAAGCGUUACUCGGAAUUACUGGGCGUAAAGCGUGCGUAGGUGGUUGUUUAAGUCCGUUGUGAAAGCCCUGGGCUCAACCUGGGAAUUGCAGUGGAUACUGGGCAACUAGAGUGUGGUAGAGGAUAGUGGAAUUUCCGGUGUAGCAGUGAAAUGCGUAGAGAUCGGAAGGAACAUCUGUGGCGAAGGCGACUAUCUGGGCCAACACUGACACUGAGGCACGAAAGCGUGGGGAGCAAACAGGAUUAGAUACCCCCGUAGUCCCUGUCUCUUAUAC
rnacentral:rRNA from 1 species